AGCAAAUGCUGCGAUCUUCCUAUCAACACAAUUGUAGGAAGCAUCUUUCUCUAUAAUUCAGAGUUGUGGACAUAGACUGUGGACAUUAAAUGCAGAACUGACUCUUUCCGAUGACAUUAUGGAGUCAGAGAUGCCUGAGAUGGCUCAGUCAGUUCGGAGUUCCUGAGAUAGCGAUAGCAGAAAGUUUUCAUUAUGGCAUCAAGGUCACCAUGGUUAAUCCAUGAGAUUAUAUGCAACUCAGCUUUCGAAAACAUAAUGAAAAUCAAUUUUAUUUUUUCCUAUUAUUAUAUAGAGACAUACUACUGUCAUUAAAACUACUACUACUAAUAAUAAUAUUAUCCAUAAUGAGAAUUUAAUCUUUUAUUUCCAGAGUGAACAAAAGUUAUCUGAGGUUUUAGAAGUUAAUAGGAAGCUAAACCAGAAGCUCAUAGAUUCUGAAAAUAGAGCUGCAAAUGCUUCAAAAAAGGUUUCAGAGCAUAUGGCUCGUGAAAGAAGAAUCCUACAA